rnacentral:rRNA from 1 species
AGUGAACGCUGGCGGUAGGCCUAACACAUGCAAGUCGAACGGCAGCACAGUAAGAGCUUGCUCUUACGGGUGGCGAGUGGCGGACGGGUGAGGAAUACAUCGGAAUCUACUUUUUCGUGGGGGAUAACGUAGGGAAACUUACGCUCAUACCGCAUACGACCUACGGGUGAAAGCAGUGGAUCUUCGUACCUUGCGCGAUUGAAUGAGCCGAUGUCGGAUUAGCUAGUUGGCGGGGUAAAGGCCCACCAAGGCGACGAUCCGUAGCUGGUCUGAGAGGAUGAUCAGCCACACUGGAACUGCGACACGGUCCAGACUUCUACGGGAGGCAGCAGUGGGGUAUAUUGGACAAUGGGCGCAAGCAUGAUCCAGCCAUACCGCGUGUGUGAAGAAGGCCUUCGGGUUGUAAAGCCCUUCUGUUGGGAAAGAAAAGCAGCAGGUUAAUACCCCGCUGUUCUGACGGUAACCAAAGAAUAAGCACCGGCUAACUUCGUG